UCUGAGAGGACCGGAAGUGAACCUGGGAGAGGGUGAAUAAGGGAGUAAAAGCUGGCCGCCUCAGCCCCCAGCAGCAACCUGUUCCGGUCGCAUUCCGCGAGGUGGAAGCUCCGUUCCUUCACUCUUCACGAUAAACCUUGUCAGCGCUCGCUCUGAGAGCUGUUCCACUCACCGCGAAGGUCCGCAGCUUCGUUCUUGAAGUCAGACCACGAACCCGCCGGCAGGAACCAACUGCAGACACAAUGUGAUGCACCACGAGCCCAACGAUCCUUCUGGAAUUGAUGUCUGAGAAGAACAAAGUCCCCAGAGAGGCCAACAGGGAAAAGGUCAAGUCAGACCAAAUUUUUCAGGCCCAGAGCUGUGCCUGCUUUGUCCUGAGCUCCAAUUUGGGAAACACAAGAAGAAAUGAAGAUGGACACAUGAUGACAGAGACCCUUGGGCUCCUGGGGGUGGUGGCAGGAGCACGAGUGACAGCUGUUUCCAAAUAUGGACCGAUGACAAGAUGCUUCCAAGAACCAAAAGAUUAGGAAAGAUCUUCUUUUCAUCUUUCAAGUGAAAAACAUAUCUGCUAGCAAGAAUAAUGAGGAUUUGAGAAAUCACUGUGGAAAAAGAAGAUUGUUUAUACGAAGCCAGUGACUUUGGCCUGACUGACAUAUUUAGAAGCCACUGAAACAAAAGCCCUCCUCUCUGGGUCUCUGGUCUGAGAGACGGAACGUAAGAGUUACAAUGUCACGUAAGGAGAACAGCAGGAAAUCUGAAGUGUACCUGGAUUUCAGACAUCCUGGUAUUCCAUUUCUCACGCCAGGCAUUUGGCACUGCUGGGCGUUUGCUCCACCUGAACUCAAUUCCUGUCACCAUCUUCCUGGCCCCUGAAACUUGUUCCUCCCUGGUGAGUUCAAAGAUGACCCUUUCUUUGAGACCUUCCCUCAUCCUUCUUCCUUUAUCACUCCGUGUUACCCUCAACUUUUCUCAAGACGAAAUCAGUGAUUCCCUUCCCUGAGCUCCCAAAAUCCUUAGAAUGCACCUCUGAAUAGCGGCGCCCCAGUUUAAGACAGGUCUGGCUUAUGUUUGUUCCUCUGAUUUGACUACAACCUCCGGGAAGGCGGGGCCCAGCCACUCCACGCGCUUGCAGGUCCUCUAGUCCUCCAUGGGUGCUCAGAUCCACGUCCUGGGUUGUGCUGACUCAGACAGGAGGAGAGAAGUCGCCCCCAGGCUGCUGCGCACCCUGUGCCUGCCCCAGCUUGCCUGCUCCCUGUCUCUCAAGCACCACGGGGUGGUUUUCUAGCAAGGAAUAAUAACAGGCAGCCCUCUUGUGGAGGAGCCUGAGAUUAACCAGUUCUUUUUUGUGUGAAAGUUAGAUAAGGCGUUGUGAUCAUACGUGCUCUUGGCCUGUUCCACUUCCCCAGGACCGUUCCACCUUUGUGUUUCAAGUAUUUCAGCACUGACACCUCACAGCAACGUGGGAUGUCACCUCAAAGCCUGAUUCUGUGAGCUUGGCAGGUUUCUGAGCUUUAAGACAAAUAAAAUGUUUUGGCCACAA